CAGAAACUUCUCAGAGAGGUCUCCACUCUGCUUUGGAUUACUCUGAACUGGGUCAUGUGCACACUGUUAGGACUGGCUCUGGGCAGAUUGCUUUUUGGCAUUUUUCUGCUGAGACUGAAUCUUCUGCUGUCCACGAGCCAUAUCCGCCACUCCUCACCGACCCCAGCCCGAGACGCGCCUCCCGGAGGCUCUGGCUGCCCCAAACCCGGCCUCACCUGGUCGUGAUAACCUGUGAUUCCAAUUAAAGAUUUUAAAAAAGAGAAGAGUUCAGCCCUUCAAGUAUUGGUUUGCCCUUCUUAAGCCAGAGGUAAAUAUAACACCUUUAUAAACUCUUGAUUAACAAGAUAAUUGAAGUUAGGUUAACUCUAUUUGCA
rnacentral:lncRNA from 1 species